GAUGAUCGAGCGAGCGAGCAGAUGUUCCGAAACUCGUCACCGGUCGAGGAUGAGCGCCGGUAUUUGAAGUUUUGGCUCGUCGAACUUCUCACGGCUGAAAAACGGACCGAAAAAAGCGUGCCUCUCAGGUGAUGAUGACACGGGCACAGCAACGACCACCCCGAAAGUCUCAAGCUUCUCAGAUUUGCUUUUGCUCGAAUCCUCCCUCGAAUUCUGGAACGACCAAUCCAUGAGAACAAGGCAAAACCCGGCUGCGAGAGAGGCUUUUUGUUGGAAGAUAUGAUUUACAACAUCGGUAUAGAUUGUAAAUUGAUAUGGAUUGUGUCUAUCUUAGGAUUAGAAAGAUUACAGAAUAUUUAAGAAAUAUACACUUUCUCUUUAUUGUUACUUCUUUUGUAUCUUACAUUUUUCCACUCCAAA
rnacentral:lncRNA from 1 species